UUGGAGGGCAAGUCUGGUGCCAGCAGCCGCGGUAAUUCCAGCUCCAAUAGCGUAUAUUAAAGUUGUUGCAGUUAAAAAGCUCGUAGUUGAAUUUCGGGGUUCUACCGUUGGUCGGGCAGUAGUCUGUACUGGCGUGUGGAAUUUCUACCUUCUGGGGAACCAUCAUGUUAUUUAUUUAGCGUGGUGGGAAACCAGGACCUUUACCUUGAAAAAAUUAGAGUGUUCAAAGCAGGCUUACGUCUGAAUACAUUAGCAUGGAAUAAUAAAAUAGGACGGUGGUCCUGUUUUGUUGGUUUCUGAAUCACCGUAAUGAUUAAUAGGGAUAGUUGGGGGCAUUAGUAUUCAAUUGUCAGAGGUGAAAUUCUUGGAUUUAUUGAAGACUAACUUCUGCGAAAGCAUUUGCCAAGGAUGUUUUCAUUAAUCAAGGACGAAAGUUAGGGGAUCGAAGACGAUCAGAUACCGUCGUAGUCUUAACCAUAAACUAUGCCGACUAGGGAUCGGACGAUGUUAAUUUUUCUUGACUCGUUCGGCGCCUUACGGGAAAC
rnacentral:rRNA from 1 species